GCUGGAAUAAUCUCUACUAAAAACUCUUAUUCUUCUACUACUACUACUACUACUCCUACUACUACUCCUCCUACUACUCCUACUACUACUCCUACUACUACUACUAGUAGUACACAAACUAACAAUGCUGUAGAGUUCAUUGAGAAGCUUGAUACAUUUUUCUGAAGAAAGUGAGGUGUUCAAAGCUGGCUGGCCGAGAGCACACUCCAGCCAGGAAUAACAGAAUAGGACUCUAGGCCUUUUAUGAUCGUUUUUUGGAAGCAGGGCCAUAAUUAAGAGCAAUGGCUGGGGGCAUUCAUAUUGUGCCACUCGAAUUUGAAUUCUUGGACCAGUGCAAGGUGACCUAAAGCAAAAGCAUUUGCCAAGAAUGCUUUCAUUAGC
rnacentral:ncRNA from 1 species